rnacentral:siRNA from 1 species
UAUGGUUCAUAUUCAGGAUU